AUUGAACGCUGGCGGCAGGCUUAACACAUGCAAGUCGAGCGAGCGGCGGACGGGUGAGUAAUGUCUGGGAAACUGCCUGAUGGAGGGGGAUAACUACUGGAAACGGUAGCUAAUACCGCAUACCAUCAGAUGUGCCCAGAUGGGAUUAGCUAGUAGGUGGGGUAAUGGCUCACCUAGGCGACGAUCACUAGCUGGUCUGAGAGGAUGACCAGCCACACGGAAUCUGGGACAAGGUCCAGACUCCUACGGAAGGCAGCAGUGAGGAAUAUUGCACAAUGGGAGCAAACCUGGUGCGGCCAUGCCGCGUAUGUGAAGAAGGCCUUCGGGUUGUAAAGCACUUUCAGCGAGGAGGCGUUACUCGCAGGAGAAGCACCGGCUAACUCCGUGCCAGCAGCCGCGGUAAUUC
rnacentral:rRNA from 1 species